AUUGGUCGCAGGUUCGAAUCCUGCACGACCCACCAAUAUACAAGGUGGUAACUGGUAGAGAACGUGAAGGUUAACGUUGCUUUAGCAACGGCCCGAAGGGCGAGGCGAAGCCGAGUCAUCCUGCACGACCCACCA
rnacentral:sRNA from 1 species